AUACGUAGGGUGCAAGCGUUAAUCGGAAUUACUGGGCGUAAAGCGCGCGUAGGGGGCUUUGUAAGUUGGAGGUGAAAGCCCCGGGCUCAACCUGGGAAUUGCCUCCACAACUGCAUGACUAGAGUACGGUAGAGGGGAGUGGAAUUUCCUGUGUAGCGGUGAAAUGCGUAGAUAUAGGAAGGAACACCAGUGGCGAAGGCGCCUUCCUGGACUGAUACUGAAACUGAGGUGCGAAAGCGUGGGCGGAAAACAGGAUUAGAUCCCCGGGUCGUCCACGCCGUAAACGAUGUCAACUAGCCGUUGGGAUCCUUGAGAUCUUAGUGGCGCAGCUAACGCAUUAAGUUGACCGCCUGGGGAGUACGGCCGCAAGGUUAAAACUCAAAUGAAUUGGCGGGG
rnacentral:rRNA from 1 species